rnacentral:lncRNA from 1 species
GUGCACUUCUGUAGUCCCAGCUACUUGGGAGGCUGAGGCAGGGGGAUUCCUUGAGCCCAAGAGGUUGAGGCUACAGUGAGCCAUCAUCGUGCCACUGCACUCCAGCCUGGGAAACAGAAUGAGACCCUGUCUCAAAACAAAACAUUUGAAAAAUAACAAGUUCAGGUGCAGUGGCUCAUACCUGUAAUCCCAGCACUUUGGGAGGCCAAAGUGGUCGGAUCACUUGAGGCCAGUAGUUCAUGACCAGCCUGGCCAACAUGGCAAAACCCCAUCUCUACUAAAAAUACAAAAAUUAGCUGGGUGUGGUGGCUGGCAACUGUAGUCCCAGCUACUCCGGAGGCUGAGGCAGGAAAAUCACUUGAACCCAGGAGGCGGAGGUUGAAGUGAGCCGAGAUCACACCACUGCACUCCAGCCUGGGCAACAGAGCAAGACUCCGUCUCCAAAAAUAACAAAAAAUAAACACAUGCCUUCCUUCCUACUGCUGCACAACCUCACUGUGUCAGGCAGGUGAGUGGACCCCAGUUAGGUUCUAUAACACCUGGGCGAGGGUUUUUAGUAUGGUAAUAAGACUUAGCCACAUUUUGUAUCCAUCUCAGGCAUCUCUGGAUCCAGCUGGUUUUUGUUUUGCUGAGGCUCGGCUUCUUCCUGGAACUUUUUGAAACAACACUCAAGGGUCUCAAAUGGCUGACAUGAUGGUCUGUGACCUGAAAGUUGUUGAAUAGUUGGAGUGUUCUGCAUUCAUGUGGAAGAGGCUAAAGGAUGUUUGAUGAAGCACUAUGGGCUGCCCUGGAAGAGGACUGAAGAAGCAGCUGCAGGAAAGAAAC